AGACCACUAGUGAUGGCUAAGUAUUUUGGUUUUUUUGUUGCUGAAAGAUGCUGAAGCAUAGACAUAAGUCAGCUGAUCAGGCUAAACAACACAGUAUCAUGUUAGUCAAUGUAACAGUAAAAGUGGCCUCUGUUGGAGAAAAUGUUUUAGGUGUGUGGUGUAGCUAGGUACUGGGCAUCUAAAGCAGCCGUGGUCCCCAGGAAUCUCCGCAGUGAGCUUAGACAAGGGAGAUUUAAUGUGUUGGGAUGAAAGACAGCAACCGCAAUCUCUGACCUCAUCUCAGAACUGCCCGAGGAUAACUGCAGAAACCACUUUGGCCACUGCAAAAUCUGGCCACAGGGAUUGGCAGGCUGGUAACACCAGACUACACCUAUGUCCUCUUCUGACUGUUAUUCUCUAGUCCUGGCUAUUGUGUAGAUACACAAGUCAUGUCCUAGUCCAGACAACUUUAUCCAGAUAGCAUUCUUACUGCCUUGCCUGGACACUCCUCUUGGCCCUUGCACCAGGAGAUCUAUCUAUGCCCCAUUUGUCAACAAUGAAGUGAAAGAAAGUUCCUCUGGAGGGCCAUUCAGACUGCCAAAGCUAAGUUCCUGCUUAGGCAGAGUGUCUUUCUCUAUCUUUUACUCCCUUGAUGAAAGUGAAGAGGAGAUAGCCUCAACUUUUUGCAGGGGAGCAGGACUUUCCUUCGUUAAAUCUACAGGUUUUGUUUAAGUGUCACAGAAAGCAUAACAGCACCAGGAGGUGGGUGGGGAGGGAAGGAGCUGAUGGUCUCAAUAUAAUCGUUCUUGGCUUCCAUCUGGUAAAGAUGUAGGUGUAUGACUCUAUUUACGCCCUUCACUUUCUCUGUCAUCUGCAGUCAGGCCCCUCUCUCAGAAGUGUUAGUGUUCAGGGAAAGCAGAAUUCUCAUGCUAGCUGGCUGUUGUCAUAGCAAGGCUGAAUUUUCCUGUGACCACACUGACAAUACUAGAGCCCUUUGGGUCCUUUUUUAAAUACUCUGGCAUUGCAUUUUCCAGAUAAGAAUUCUACACAGUUUUAGAGCUGUUUUGUCCCAUUUGAUUUAUACAUCUGUAAUUUGUUAUUAGAUACUUACAUUUGACUGUUGGUCUUCUAGCCCUGCAAUUUAAAGUACGGGGAAAAGAGCAUUAAAGUAUAUUUUAAACAUGUGUCUACCGAAGAGACCUGCAGAGACCAAAAAAGUGUGGGGUUUUUCCCAGUUCUGAAAAGAAAUUGGGAAGAAAUACUGGACUUCUGGAGUUAGCACUUUUUUUUCAAUAUGUGUAAAAUGUGAAUAUACCUAAACCAAAUCAACAGGAUUUUUUUUUUUUUUUGCAAGGAGUGUUCUUAAUAUUUUUAUGUUAGUAUAUUAAGCCAUACAGUAUUUGCUUUAUUUUUAAAGGGAAAAAUUUGAAUAAGACCUAGUGUGAUUGUCCUGUAAUACAGAAACAGGAUAACCAUAGAAGUAACCUGAAUGGAAAUAAAAACAGGGACGGCUGAGUGCCAGCAACCCCUUGACCAUAAGUCUGCAGGCAGCUGUGCCAGAAGUCUGUUUCAUUACACUUUUGCAUUGUGUAAUACAGUUUAUGUUAUUUGAGAUGUGGAGAUGCUGCUCAUUACCACUUCUCUCCAAAAUGUGACCAAAGCUUUGGAGCUGCCUGGCUUUGAAUUAGAGUAACACCGCUGGUGCUCUGUAAUACCUG